AAUAUUUAUACUGGAAAAGAGAAUCGUGAGAGAAUCGUGAUCUCAAUUCUAAGCCAAAAAAUCGUGAUUCUCAUUUUAUGCAAAAUCGUGCAGCCCUACUCAGCAGCAGGUCAGAAUCACACAGAACAACAUUUAGACAUUUCCUCCAACAGCACGUGAUCAGAUGAUCACAAGUUCAGUCUGAGAUUCACAGCCGGGGUUCUUUCACUGCUCUCAGGAAAAAGCUUCACGAAUCGGAGGAAACUCUGAACAUUACCUCCUCCUGACCAGGUGCAGGUUAUGACCAGGCAGCCAGAUGUUCAGAGUCCAGCUGUGGGUGUCGGUGAAGGUUCAGACGUGUCAGCAGAGAGCUCUGUGAUGGAUCGAAACCUGUACAGGUGUACCCAUCUCUCACCCUAUGAGACCUGUGAUAGGCUCCGCCCACACCAUGACCCUGGACUGUAAUGAAAAUGAACAGACUCUGCUCACCCAGCAGGACAGGAUGCCAUCCCAUAAUAACCACCAGCCUGCUGACAUGCUUGAAGCUUCAGCGUCUGUGAAGCCAAAAUAAAUCCCUCUGUAUGAAAAUGUGAUCCUUAAACAAACUGAUCAGAGAUCACAGAUUUAUUCACGUCACUUUUAUUUACAUCACAACCACAGGCUGAAUCGUAUCCAUCCACUGGAUCCUGAUCACUGAUUCAUUGAUCUCAUUCAAUGAUUUUAAUGACAGCUUCACCUGUAAACGAUGAAUCAAAUCUACAGUAUGACAGAGUGGAGUACGCAGGAAGCAACAGAACACAGAAACAGCAGCGGUUUUAGAUACGGCGACACGGGCGGUUUGCCCGGGGCGGCAUCACGGGCAUCGGCAAAAAAAGAAAAAAUGCUCCGAUAGAAAAAAGCUAUGAUACCGGACACAGCUACUUCUUCUUCUUCGGGGUUUAACGGCAGCUGGCAUCCUUGUACAUGCAGUGCUGCCAUCUUCUGUUUCAGUCCGUUAUUACACUCUUAAAUCCUGCUACUUAUUCCUUUAUCCUACUACUAGCUCCCAAAAGAUUAGAUCUUUUGUGAUCUUACAAAGCUUCAAACGACGCGUCGACUAUUAAAUCAGUCGUCGACGAUUUUGAUAGUCGACUAAUCGUGACUAGUCGUGGCAGCCCUAGUAUGCACGCUGUCCUCAACAGCCAUACUGAAACUGUCACAGUUCCAACGUCAGUAGGAAACACAGCCAGAUAAACUUUUCAGGACAAACGAGACACAAAAGGAAUUUUACUGGAAAGCAAAGAUUGUUUCAGGACCUACAAGUUUAAAAGAUUAAACCAGCAGCUCCAGGGAAGGUGACACAGAUGCCUGUGAGAAGAACACCACUAAACCACUU